rnacentral:rRNA from 1 species
UACGGAGGGUGCAAGCGUUAUCCGGAUUCACUGGGUUUAAAGGGUGCGUAGGUGGGCAGGUAAGUCAAUGGUGAAAUCUCCGGGCUUAACCCGGAAACUGCCAUUGAUACUAUUUGUCUUGAAUACUGUGGAGGUCAGCGGAAUAUGUCAUGUAGCGGUGAAAUGCUUAGAUAUGACAUAGAACACCAAUUGCGAAGGCAGCUGGCUACACAAAUAUUGACACUGAGGCACGAAAGCGUGGGGAUCAAACAGG